rnacentral:rRNA from 1 species
UACAGAGGUCCCGAGCGUUGUUCGGAAUUACUGGGCGUAAAGUGUGCGCAGGCGGCCGCGCAAGUCGAGUGUGAAAGCCCCGGGCUUAACUUGGGAAUUGCGCUCGAAACUACGUGGCUGGAGUGUGGCAGAGGAAGGUGGAAUUCCAGGUGUAGCGGUGAAAUGCGUAGAGAUCUGGAAGGAACACCGAUGGCGAAGGCAGCCUUCUGGGCCAACACUGA